GACGAACGCUGGCGGCGUGCUUAACACAUGCAAGUCGAACGCUGAAGCUCAGCUUUUGUUGGGUGGAUGAGUGGCGAACGGGUGAGUAACACGUGAGUAACCUGCCUCCUUCUUUGGGAUAACGCCCGGAAACGGGUGCUAAUACUGGAUAUUCACUGGUCUUCGCAUGGGGGUUGGUGGAAAGGGUUUUUCUGGUGGGGGAUGGGCUCGCGGCCUAUCAGCUUGUUGGUGGGGUGAUGGCCUACCAAGGCUUUGACGGGUAGCCGGCCUGAGAGGGUGACCGGUCACAUUGGGACUGAGAUACGGCCCAGACUACUACGGGAGGCAGCAGUGGGGAAUAUUGCACAAUGGGCGCAAGCCUGAUGCAGCGACGCCGCGUGAGGGAUGGAGGCCUGCGGGUUGUGAACCUCUUUCGCUCAUGGUCAAGCCGCAACAAUGGUUGUGGUGAGGGUAGUGGGUAAAGAAGCGCCGGCUAACUACGUG
rnacentral:rRNA from 1 species